GAUGAACGCUGGCGGCGUGCCUAAUACAUGCAAGUCGAGCGAACAGAUAAGGAGCUUGCUCCUUUGACGUUAGCGGCGGACGGGUGAGUAACACGUGGGUAACCUACCUAUAAGACUGGAAUAACUCCGGGAAACCGGGGCUAAUGCCGGAUAACAUUUAGAACCGCAUGGUUCUAAAGUGAAAGAUGGUUUUGCUAUCACUUAUAGAUGGACCCGCGCCGUAUUAGCUAGUUGGUAAGGUAACGGCUUACCAAGGCAACGAUACGUAGCCGACCUGAGAGGGUGAUCGGCCACACUGGAACUGAGACACGGUCCAGACUCCUACGGGAGGCAGCAGUAGGGAAUCUUCCGCAAUGGGCGAAAGCCUGACGGAGCAACGCCGCGUGAGUGAUGAAGGUCUUCGGAUCGUAAAACUCUGUUAUUAGGGAAGAACAAAUGCGUAAGUAACUGUGCACGUCUUGACGGUACCUAAUCAGAAAGCCACGGCUAACUACGUG
rnacentral:rRNA from 1 species